CAGUGUUUCUGGAGUGGGACAAAACAUUAGAGGGGCUUACUUGACCAUUUCUGCUGACAUCACUCCUAUCAUUGGUUCUUGAUGUAGAAGGGGAAAACAAAAAUAAUAGCAGGAAGAACCUCACCAUCAGCUCAGGGGAACAGAUGGAGUGAAAAUGCUAGUGCAUCCUGUUAUUAGCCGACCUUGAAUCAAGUUAUACACCCAAUCAAUGGAAAAAGAGGAAGAGAACAAAAGAAGCGGAGAUUGCUAUAAAAGCCUCUAGGU
rnacentral:lncRNA from 10 species